ensembl:lncRNA
AUGGAUCUUCAUUUAGUUAUUCUGUUCUGUGCCUCAACCGCUGCUGUCUUUGGGAAUGUCAUUAAACCAAACCAACCAGAUGUUUUUGCUGAGAAGGGUUCAAGUGUUCCAUUGUCAUGUAGUUAUUCUGCAUCUGGAGGUAGUGAUUAUCUCUACUGGUACCGUCAGUAUGGAAGAUCAAAACCUGAAUUUCUUGUACUCACCUACAGCAGUGCAAAAAAAGCUGAAGUGUCUGAUGUAGAUCCAAGAUUCACUGUUAACAAUACAAAAAAAGAUCAUGUGGAUCUGGAGAUCUCCUCUGCUGCUGUAUCAGACUCUGCUCUGUACUACUGUGCUCUGAGGCCCACCGUGACAGGAAACACAUCAGCUCUCUACAAAAACCUGCUACAAUGAGAGACAGGAAAGAAACACAGAGACAAACAGAACAUUUGUGACAAAGAAGCUAGUAUACAAAUAUUUAAAUAAUCUAAUGCAAAAGGGACCAAAACAUAAAGCAAAAAUCAACAUUCUAAAGUGAGUCAAAAAUUAUGUUUAAUUUGUUAAUAAGUGAAAUGCCAAUAUUAUGCAAUACUUGCAGGUAACCAUAGGAUGGCAGUAAGCACUCAAUAUUACCUUUGAGAAUACAGCUUUUUUUUUUUUUUGAAUCAUCCUCAUCAUAUCAAAAGCAAAACAUUUGCAUUCACUGAUUUAUAUUUAAAGUGUAUUCAACAUAGACAGUCAUGUCACACAGGUUGAGGAAUAUACUUCUUUUCACACUAUUUCUUGGUAUGCAUUUUAUAUAACUGCACUUUUAAUUGUUUUCCAUUUAAUAUUCUUAAACCUUUUCAAAGUGCAGAUCAGAGGAUAUGGUUGAUCAACCAGACAAACAUCUGACUGAAGUUGAAAGAAGAUCAAUGAUAUAUGACACAGAUUCAAUAUGAGAUUUUUUUUUUUCCUGUUUUGAACAAUCAUAAAAAUGGUUGGAAAAGAUUGAUCACACACAAUCAAAUAAUAUACAAAAUACAUUACACCAUAUGAAUGAAAGUGAACAGCAGCAGGAAGUUCAGAGAGGAUGAAGUUCCUGUGUGUGUGUUUGUGACUGAUCUGCAGUGACUUACAGCUCAGAGCACUGAGAGCCUCAACAGAGAACUGAACUGAUCUGAUUGAACAUGGACAGAUGCUUCAUACUGAUUCUCAUUGUGGGAACAGGUCAAUUUUUUUUAGAUAACUACAAUAGUAUUUUGUCAACCUUGCUUUCAUAAUUCAAAAAUAAGUUUAUUUGUGCUUAUUGUUGACAGGUUUGGUGACUGGAGACAGCAUUGAGCCAGAUAAAGGGACAGAAAAAAACUCUCAAGAAACAGAAACUGUAAAGCUGAGCUGCUCAUGUAGCACAAGUAGCGAUUAUACUUAUCUUUACUGGUUCAGACAGUAUCCUAAUGGAGAACCCCAAUAUCUAUUAAACAAAAAUGUACGGUCAGAGAAUGAUGCACACACCUCUGAUCCUCGGUUUCAGUCGAUUGCAUCACGUACAUCCACUGAACUCACUAUUACUGAUGUACGUCUGUCAGAUUCAGCUCUCUAUUAUUGUGCUCUAAGAGUAGCAGCCCAGUGAUACAAAACAUGAGACAUGUCAUACAAAAACCUGAAGCUCUUUUCUCUUUGAACUUAUCGAGUAAAAACCACAAUCAAAACCAAAAUCUAUAAUGCCCCCAAUGUAAUAAAAAAACAUGGUAACACCUGCA